GCAGUCGAACGGCAGCGCGAGAGAGCUUGCUCUCUUGGCGGGGAGUGGGGGAGGGGUGAGUAAUAUAUCGGAACGUGCCCAUUAUCGGGGGAUAACUACUCGAAAAAGUGGCUAAUACCCCAUACGCCCUACGGGGGAAAGGGGGGGAUCCCAAGACCUCUCACUAUUGGAGCGGCCGAUAUCGGAUUACCUAGUUGGUGGGGUAAAGGCUCACCAAGGCAACGAUCCGUAGCUGGUUUGAAAGGACGACCAGCCACCCUGGGACUGAAACACGGCCCAAACUCCUACGGGAGGCAGCAGUGGGGAAUUUUGGACAAUGGGGGAAACCCUGAUCCAGCCAUCCCGCGUGUAUGAUGAAGGCCUUCGGGUUGUAAAGUACUUUUGGCAAAGAAAAAAAGGUAUCCCCUAAUACGGGAUACUGCUGACGGUAUCUGCAAAAUAAACACCGGCUAACUAUGUGCCAGCAGCCGCGGUAAAACGUAGGGUGCAAGCGUUAAUCGCAAUUACUGGGCGUAAAGCGUGUGUAGGCGGUUCGGAAAAAAAGAUGUGAAAUCCCAGGGCUCACCCUUGGAACUGCAUUUUUAACUGCCGACUAUAUAUGUGGAGGGGGGUAGAAUUCCACCUGUAGCAGUGAAAUGCG
rnacentral:rRNA from 1 species